rnacentral:rRNA from 1 species
AACGAACCAACCCUUUAGAAUUAGAAGUGCUUGCACGGAAGAGGAAAAAGGAAUUUUGGUUAGUGGCGAACGGGUGAGUAAUGCAUAAGAAACCUACCCAACAGACUGGGAUAACUACUGGAAACGGUAGCUAAUACCGGAUAUGAUAUAACUUGGCAUCAAGUUAUAUUGAAAGGUGCUACGGCACUACUGAUGGAUGGUCUUGUGUUGUAUUAGCUAGUUGGUAAGGUAAGAGCUUACCAAGGCGACGAUACAUAGCCGACCUGAGAGGGUGAUCGGCCACACUGGGACUGAGACACGGCCCAGACUCCUACGGGAGGCAGCAGUAGGGAAUAUUCCGCAAUGGACGAAAGUCUGACGGAGCAAUACCGCGUGAGGGAAGAAGGUUUUCGGAUCGUAAACCUCUGUUAUAAGGGAAGAACAAGGUAGAUAGGGAAUGAUCUACUGAUGACGGUACCUUAUCAGAAAGCCACGGCUAACUACGUGCCAGCAGCCGCGGUAAUACGUAGGUGGCAAGCGUUGUCCGGAAUUAUUGGGCGUAAAGGGCGUGUAGGCGGUAAGAUAAGUCUGAUGUGAAAGCCCUCGGCUCAACCGAGGAAUAGCAUUGGAAACUGUCUCACUUGAGUACAGAAGAGGAGAGUGGAAUUCCAUGUGUAGCAGUGAAAUGCGUAGAUAUAUGGAGGAACACCAGUGGCGAAGGCGACUCUCUGGUCUGAUACU